CCCACAGCGGGUGGUAACUCCAGUUCUAGCCAGGACAGAUUCAGAGCCCUCAGGACUCAGGGGCACACACAAGCCACACAGGUGGGGCUGCAGAUGUGGGGCUCACCGUGCUGGAGCCAGGCUGGUUGGCACUGGCAUGGGACCUGGGGAAUCAGCCCUCGGCUGGGCAGCCAGGAUGCCUCCUGCUCUCUUUCCUCCAUCCCACCCCUUCCACUUCCAGAGGCCCCGGGAUAUUUUUAAGGGGAAGGGGAAGGAUAGAGAGAAAGUGCAGGCAGGGCUGGGGUCUGGGCCUGUGGGAUCCUCAGGCAGGAGGGGAGGGCUAUAUCAUGAUGGCCUGGAGCUGGGGCUGGAGGUGAGUCUUCCCGGAUGCUGGGAAUCACCAGGCGGGCAGGAGGGCUGUUCCAGGCUGAGGGAAGGGCAGGUGCAAAGCCCAGAGUGGGGAAGACGCUGGGCAGCAGUGUGGGUGGUGCAGCCGGACUG
rnacentral:lncRNA from 1 species